AGUAAUUAGACGAUAUUAGAAUUAAUAUUCACGAAAGCGUACGAGCUAAACAAAACAAGAUUGUAGUCUGUUUUUGUAUGUAGUAUAAUACUUUCAUUAGUUGUGUUUAGGAGUGAUAGGCUUUUCAAGCACGUUGAUAUCUUGUUACGUGUGAAAAAUAUUUAGUAUAAAGGUAUAUUACUAAAGUUAAGCUUAGUAAUAGCUAGGAAUUAUGUUUGUUAAAUUCUUUAAGUUUAAUAGCUGGAGGAUUAUAUUGUUUAAUAUUUAUUAUAUACAUUUUCUAAUUUAUAUCACGUUAUAUUUAUUUGUGUAACUAUAAAUUAUGUUAGUAUGAGUAGGAAUAUAAAAUAUUCUGCCUGAACUCGGCAACCCACUUUUCAACUGUUUAUCAAAAACAUAGCUAUAUGAUUUUACAUAUAGUUAUUUCUGCUCCAUGGUAUUGCUAAAUAGCCGCAGUACUCUGACUGUGCAAAGGUAGCAUAAUCAUUUGGCUCCUAAUUAGAGUCUGGUAUGAAAGAACACAUGGAAAGUAGCUGUCUCGGAAUAUUACUUCGAAAUUGGUUGUGAGUGCAAAUCCUCACACAUCUAAAAAAGACGAGAAGACCCUAGAAACUUAUUGUAAAAGUUUUGUUGGGGCGACAGAAUUACACAUAACAAACUAAUUUUAUAAAGCAGGACGCUGAGCAGGUAGUUAAAGUUACUCUAGGGAUAACAGCAUAAUACAUUCUGUUUGUGACCUCGAUGUUGGACUAGGUAAGAUAUUCCUUAGAAAGGAAUACGUAAGCUCUGUUCGAGCAGAUAAACCUACAUGAUCUGAGUUCAGACCGG
rnacentral:rRNA from 1 species